rnacentral:rRNA from 1 species
GACGAACGCUGGCGGCGUGCUUAACACAUGCAAGUCGAACGGAAAGGCCCAGCUUGCUGGGUGCUCGAGUGGCGAACGGGUGAGUAACACGUGGGUGAUCUGCCCCUAACUUCGGGAUAAGCUUGGGAAACUGGGUCUAAUACCGGAUAGGACAAUCGUUUAGUGUCGGUUGUGGAAAGUUUUUUCGGUUAGGGAUGAGCCCGCGGCCUAUCAGCUUGUUGGUGGGGUAAUGGCCUACCAAGGCGUCGACGGGUAGCCGGCCUGAGAGGGUGGACGGCCACAUUGGGACUGAGAUACCGCCCAGACUCCUACGGGAGGCAGCAGUGGGGAAUAUUGCACAAUGGGCGCAAGCCUGAUGCAGCGACGCCGCGUGGGGGAUGAAGGCCUUCGGGUUGUAAACCUCUUUCGACAGGGAAGAAGCUUUGGUGACGGUACCUGUAGAAGAAGCACCGGCUAACUACGUG